UAUUAUCGCGAGUCAAAGGGCCAUACGAAACCCCACGGYGUAAUUAAAGUAAAGGUUGAUUUAUCAACUAUGAUGUGACCUCGUUGCCGUAAAAAGUAACAGAGAGCAACAUCGACCCGUCUAAAGGUGUUCGCAUCUGGGCGGAGUUUGAGCGAUAAUGUAGAGACCCGAAAGAUGGUGAACUAUGCUUGUGCAGAUUGAAGUCAGAGGAAACUCUGAUGGAGGAUCGCAGCGGUUCUGACGUGCAAAUCGAUCGUCGGACAUGAGUAUAGGGGCGAAAGACUAAUCGAACCAUCUAGUAGCUGGUUCCCUCCGAAGUGUCCCUCAGGAUAGCUGGCGUUUAUUUGUUGUAGUUUUACCUGGUAAAGCGAAUGAUUAGAAGUAUUGGGGACGAAAUGUUCUCAACUUAUUCUCAAACUUUAAAUGGGUGCGAAGUGUAACUCUCUUUAAUGGAGUUAUGCAUAGAAUACACAUGCCUAGUGGGCCAUUUUUGGUAAGCAGAACUGKCGAUGUGGGAUGAACCACACAUCUGGUUAAGGUGCCUAAACUUACGCUCAUGAGAAACCACACAAGGUGUUGGUUGAUUAAGACAGCAGGACGGUGGACAUGGAAGUCGUCAUCCGCUAAGGAGUGUGUAACAACUCACCUGCCGAAUCAACCAGCCCUGAAAAUGGAUGGCGCUGUAGCGUAAUACCUAUACCGGAUCGGUGUAGCAAGUGAAUUUCGGUUCGCAAGUAAGUUGCACCGUGUAGGAGGGUGCCGUGGWUGCUACGAAGCUACUGGCGUGAGUCAGAGUGGAGCGCCCACGGGUACAGAUCUUGGUAGUAGUAKCAAUUAUUCAA
rnacentral:rRNA from 1 species